rnacentral:rRNA from 1 species
GACGGAGGGUGCAAGCGUUGUUCGGAUUCAUUGGGCGUAAAGGGCGUGUAGGCGGUCAAGUAAGUGGAAUGUGAAACGCCUCGGCUUACCCGAGGACCUGCAUCCCAAACUGCUUGGCUUGAGUAUGGGAGAGGAUGAGGGAAUUCCUGGUGUAGCGGUGAAAUGCGUAGAUAUCAGGAGGAACACCGGUGGCGAAAGCGCUCAUCUGGCCCAAUACUGACGCUGAGGCGCGAAAGCUAGGGGAGCAAACGGG